GACUUCAUACAUUGACCAUGCAAGCAUGAGUAGCGAAAAACCGGAUGAGAAUUCCGGUCACCGAAAGACUAAGGUUUCCUGGGCAAGGUUCGUCCUCUCAGGGUUAGUCGGAACCUAAGGCGAGGCGGAAACGCGUAGUCGAUGGACAAUUGGUUAAUAUUCCAAUACCACCUUAUCGGAGUGAUGGAAGGACGCAGUUGCUAAUGUGAUUCUGGCUAUAUGCCAGUCGAAGAUCAUGGGACGCCGGGGGUUAAAUGACCCGGCAUCAGUCUGAAGAUUGACAGGCGGUGGAUCCUUCGGGUGAAUCCGUUUCACUGAUGCUAUACUGACGAGAAAAGCUCCUAAACGUUGAUGAUAGGGUGUCCGUACCGCAAACCGACACAGGUAGUCGAGGCGAAAAGCCUAAGGUGCGCGAGUGAAACCACUUCAAGGAACUCGGCAAAUUGGCCCCGUAACUUAGGGAGAAGGGGUGCCCGACGGGUGAAAGCCCGGAGGGUUUCAACAAAGAGGCCGCGGCGACUGUUUAACAAAAACACAGCUCUCUGCUAACUCGCAAGAGGAUGUAUAGGGAGUGACACGUGACCAAUGCCGAAAGGUCAAAUGGAUCCGUCAGCAGCAAUGCGAAGCGGUGAUAUGAAGCCCCGGUGAAUGUCGGCCGUAACUAUAACGGUCCUAAGGUAGCGAAAUUCCUUGUCGGGUAAGUUCCGACCUGCACGAAUCGUGUAACGAUCGCGGCACUGUCUCGAAGUGGAGCUCGGCGAAGUUGUAAUUCCGGUGAAAAUGCCGGAUACCUGCAGUAGGACGGAAAGACCCUGUGAACCUUUACUGUAAUCUGAUAUUGGUAUUCGUGUGUUCAUGUGUAGUAUAGGUGGGAGGCUUUGAAGCCGCCGCGCCAGCGGUGGUGGAGUCAUCAGUGAAAUACCACCCUUGAUAACUUGAAUAUCUAACUGAAGCCCGUGAAUCCGGGAUUGGGACAGUGUCAGAGGGUCAGUUUGACUGGGGCGGUUUCCUCCAAAACGGUAACGGAGGAGCACGAAGGUACACUCAGCACGGUUGGCAAUCGUGCACAGAGCGCAAGGGUAGAAGUGUGCUUAACUGUGAGACAAACAUGUCGAACAGAUACGAAAGCAGGUCCUAGUGAUCCAGCGAUGGAACGUGGAAUCGUCGUUGCUCAACGGACAAAAGGUACUCCGGGGAUAACAGGCUGAUAGCGCCCAAGCGUCCAUAGCGACGGCGCUGUUUGGCACCUCGAUGUCGGCUCAUCUCAUCCUGGGGCUGUAGAAGGUCCCAAGGGUCCGGCUGUUCGCCGGUUAAAGAGGUACGCGAGCUGGGUUCAAAACGUCGCAAGACAGUUUGGUCCUUAUCCACUGCAGGCGCAGGACAUUUGAUGAGAGCAUUCCUUAGUACGAGAGGACCGGGAAUGACCGACCGCUGGUAUUCCAAUUGUCUCUAAAGAGGCAGCGUUGGGUAGCUAUGUCGGGAAAGGAUAAGCGCUGAAAGCAUCUAAGCGCCAAGCCCCCUCAAAGAUGAUAUGUCCCGGACCGUAAGGUCCCUGAAGGCGGGUCGUAGACUACGACCUUGAUAGGAUAGAAGUGUAAGAACAGCAAUGUUUUCAGCUUACUAUUACUAAUACGCCGUGAGGCUUGACC
rnacentral:rRNA from 1 species